UUAAUUUGGAUUGUGAGCAACUAGGUCAAGAAUGUAGAAUCCACAAAUUUAAAUGUCAAAUAGACUCCCUCCUGUUCUUUGAACCUAUGGAAGAUGAGGUUUCACUGGUCCUCUAGCCGUUCUUCUCCCUGCUCAUCCUCCAUUAUCUUAUGUUUGGCCUUAACAAAGAAUCAUCGUAAAACAUCCAACCCUCAAGUCCUGCACAGGAACACAUUAAGGUUGCUAUUGUAGUACUGAUAUCAAAUGGGAAUAGAGAACUGAAUUCUAUAGUCCAUGUGAUCCUUUGCAGUAUUGAUGUCUAGUAUCUAGUAAUCUUUGGAUAAAUUAAGGAUUUGGGAGUUUUUCAUUUGAAGUAGGUACACAAUGUUUACACUGUUAUGCUCACUCUAGAGCUGGGCCCACUUUGUUGCCAAAACCAUUGCAGAAAAUGGAAUUGGAGAACUGAAUUUUUGAGUACACAUUGAGGAAUAUUUAUAAAGUCCCCAAUCAAGGAUUGUACAAUAAAAAAGUGAAAUACAUAUUCAUCCAAUUAAAGGUCUGUAUGCAAAAUAAUGGCCUUUGGGAAACAGAGAAGACCUAGAAAUUUGAACUGUAUGUCACAGUAAUAAAACUGGGAAUAAAAAUAUUAUCUGGAAGAAUCUCCUCCACUCCAUGUUCCUAAAUCAUUUCUACCCAUGCCAAGCCCCUGACUAACAUUCUCCAUUCCGAGCAUGUAACAACUAAUAAAGCACAGAGAAAUCUCUAGCUUUAUGGAGAUGUAGUAAAUGAAGGUUUCCACUGUGUACCAGGAGUCACUCCUGGAAAGGGCUCCCUUGAAUCUGGUCAGGAAAGUUGUUCAGCAGGUAGGCCAUGGCAGCUUUCAGUGACAUCAGCAUUAGUCCCUCCCUGAAUAAUCUCUUGUAUCCUGCCUCUCAGAUAUUCUUUCCUUACGUCUAGGAUUUGUAUAGUGGCCUCUACUUAAGAGUAAACAGCCUUUGGAAAGGAGAACAAAGAUGAUGAAGAGAUCAGAGAUGGGGAAAAGGAACCUGGCCUUCUGUCUUGUUAUUAAAAAAAGGAAGAAAUACGUGGCCCAUUGGAAAGCUCAGUGAGUCCUGUGUAGGAGUUGAGUGGAAUCGCUGAAGAGAUAGCCUAGACCUGAGCCUUCCACAUAUGGGAAUAAAGAGAUUGUAGCCUCUCAGAAGCAUCUGGACUUCCCUGGUUUUUAUGGUUCCUGGAAGUCAGAGAUUUUAUAUUAUUACUUUCUUUAUUCCAAAAGACAGGUUUUCAUCUUGGCACACUGGUUUUCCUGACAGCUCAUGGCUUUUACUCUUUUUGCCCAGAAGAAAAACCUCCUAAGGAAGAAGAGACAGACAAGUAUUGUGUCCUCAGCUCAGAGUAAACUCCUCCGUGCUUUGGAUACCUAUUGUGCAGUUUGUGUCUGACACUGAUAUCUGGGAGAGAGAAGUGCUUCUAAUUCAGACUUCAUCAUCUCAAUAUUUCGACUAGUAUUACUCUGACUGCCAUUCCCUGACAGUGACCCAUUUGAUUUCUGAGUCCAUAGAUGUGAUUAGCUGGAAGUUCUCUUUUCUUUUAUUUCUUUCAUUUUUUUUAAUAUUUUAAAAAAAUACAUUGCCUUUUUAUUUGGAUAUUUCUAUAUUUACAUUUCAAAUGUUAUUUCCUUUCCCACUUUUCUGUCCAUAAGAUCCCUAACUGGUCUGCCUUACUGUCCCUUGAACUAACAGUCAAACCUAGAGAGGACUAAAGGCUUCUCAUUCCAAUAGUGCCCAAAAAGGCCAUCCUCUGCAACAUAAGCAUUUGGAACCAUAGGUUUGUCCACGAAUAGUCUUUGAUUAUUGUUUUAGAUCCAGAACAUACUGGUUCAUUGACAUUGUUGUUCUUAUGUGGUUGAACUCAACAUCAGCUCUUGUAAUUCUUUCUCAAAAUCUACCAUAACUCUGGUGUCAGAAAAGUAAUAAGACUGUAGUGUUCCUUCUAUUUCUAGUUUGUGGAAGAGUUUGGAGAAUAUUGGUAUUAGGUGUUCUAUGAAGGUCUGAGAGAAUUCUGUACUAAACCUUCCUCAUCCUGGGAUCUCUUGGUUAGGAGACAUUUAAUGACUGCUUCUACUACUUUACAAGUAAUGGGAGUAUUUAGAUGGUUUAUCUGAUCGUGAUUCAAGAUACUUUGGUAUCUUGUAUCUGUCUAGAAAAUUAUCCAUUUGAUCCUUGCUUUCCAGUUUUGAUAAGUAUAUGCUUUUAUAGUAGGAUCUGAUAAUUUUUGAGCUUCCUCAUUUUCUAUGGUUAUAUCUCUAUUUCACUUCUGAUUUUGUUAUUUUUAAUUUGAAUACUAAGGAUUUACCUAUCUUCUGGAUUUUUCAAAGAACCAGCUCCUGGUUUUGUUGAUUCUCUACAUAAUUCCUUUUGUUUCUACUUGGUUGAUUUCAGUACGGAGUUUGAUUAUUUCCUGCUGUCUAGUACUCUUGGUGUAUUUGGAUUUUUAUUGGUUCUGAGAUUUCAGGUGUUCGGACAAACUGCGAGUGUAUCAUAGCUCCUGUUUCUUUGUGGAGGCUCUCAGAGCUAUGAGCUUUCCUCUUAGCAUUGCUUUUUUGUGUGCCCAAUUUAUGCAUUCAUUUUCAUUAAAUUCUAGAAAGUCUUUAAUUUUUUUCUUUAUUUCUUCCUUGAACAAGUUCUCAUCAAGUAAAUCAUUCUUAUGCUACCAUGUAUAUGUGGGACUUUGGUUGUUCUUGUUGUUAUUGAGACCAUUCUUAGUGAUUUUAUAGUUUGCAUGGAAUUAAUUCAAUCUUCUUGCAUCUUUUGAGGCCUUUUUUGUGAUGGAUCAUAUUAUCAGUUUUGUAGAAGGUACCAUGUAGGACUGAGAAGAAAGUGUCAGAAGCCAUAUCAGGACAAGCUCAUAACUAACAGGUGAUCAUCCUCAGAUGGAGAGCCUUGGAUUAUUUUUAUAAUCCACAACUGGUUUGCCCUUAUUAAGCAAGGCUGUAAGAGAUUCAUUUUUGAUUUUUAGGUGCUGAGGACAAAGAGAAGACACACAUAAGGAGUGAGACAGAAGGUCUGAACUGGAAGGACAGAGACAGAUGGACAGAGCUGGAGAGGGGAUGACCUGAAAAGACCGGUUUGAGAUAAGGAGAACAAAGAUGUUGAUGGCUCCAAGCUUCUCCCUAGCCUGUCAAGCAAAAAGCAUAAGGACAAAAUGGAAAAGGCUCCAGCAAGUAAUCCUCUACUUUAUCUCCUGCUGUUUCAGAAUGAGGU